rnacentral:rRNA from 1 species
UACGUAGGGUGCAAGCGUUAAUCGGAAUUACUGGGCGUAAAGCGUGCGCAGGCGGUUGUGCAAGACAGAUGUGAAAUCCCCGGGCUUAACCUGGGAACUGCAUUUGUGACUGCACAGCUGGAGUGCGGCAGAGGGGGAUGGAAUUCCGCGUGUAGCAGUGAAAUGCGUAGAUAUCAAGUGGAACACCAGUGGCGAAGGCGAGUCCCUGGAAAACUCCUGACACUGAGGCACGAAAGCUAGGGGAGCAAACAGG